CGCGCGCAGCUGAAAGUGAAAGAGCGCUCAGCUUUUCGGCGCUCGCUCUUUCUGGUCUGGUCUCCCGCGCUUGCCUGGUCUAGGCUGUGGCCCGGUGGCUGGCGGGAUGGAGGAGCCGCAAGCCGCCGCGGACGUGUCGCUUCACAACUUCAGUGCGAGGCUGUGGGAGCAGCUCGUCCACUUUCAUGUCAUGCGGCUAACGGACUCGCUCUUCCUGUGGGUGGGGGCAACGCCGCAUCUACGCAACCUCGCUGUGGCCAUGUGUAGCCGCUUCCCAGGAAGACCAGCAAACAGGUGUUUGUCAGCUACAACCUCUCCAAUACAGACAGUAACUUCACGUUACUCGUAGAAAACAGGAUUAAAGAAGAAAUGGAGACCUUUCCGGAAAAGUUCUGAGCAGCAGAAGGAAGUGUUUGUAACUUGUAUAUAAAUUACAUGGAAAUAAACAGGUUGUUUUUGUCCUC
rnacentral:lncRNA from 1 species